UAGUGUAGCCCUUGCUAGGAGGACUUGAGAACUGCAGUUCAUUAUCGCAAUGUCAGUUGUUUCUGUGGAGGUGCGGCAGUUGUUGCCAUGACAGCAUAUAGUUGGCAAACUACCCUGUUGCCAUCAAUUAUUAGCAAUAGGCUACACAUUCAAACGCAUUGCUCUGGUCGUUUUCCAGCUGUCUUUCGCCUGUUUUGGAAUUAAAAGAACCGCAGUGACACCGAACGUUUUGUGGGAUGCUGCAUCAUGUUGCAACUUGCUGGUAGAACGGGGAACAUUUGAAAAAGUAGACCGCGCUGUCCGUGUUUGGAAAACGAUUUCAUGUAACGUUAAUCUUUCAUUCAUGUAAUCUUUCCUGACCUGAUACACUGUUGCUAGGACAGUAAGCAAAAGGGGAAAGCUUUACAGUAGGUUUAAGGCUAUGGGAGUGACACUGCACUCACCCAAUUCUACAAAUAUCCACAGUCUUGAUUAAAACUAAAUACAAUGGGGACGUCUGGAACUGAUGCAGUCGCAUUCUCAGGGGAAGUGGAGGAGGAAGAAGAGGAGGAAUACUAUGAAGUUGAGCAUCUGCCUCCACUCCUUGAAGAUGAGGACAACAAGAUGAGAUUAAUGUGUCUGUGGCCCCUUUCCUUAUAACUCUCAUGGUGAUCAGGGACCAUAUUAAUUGUACUGUGGGAUGUACAGUAGUAUCCACCAUUGAUCUGCAUGACUAGCUCACUGUACAGAUGUAUUGACCCCUGCUGUGUCCUCUCUUGGCUUUAUGUGGAUAUUACGGGCAUUCAUUAAAACACUACCCCAUCCCUUA